rnacentral:rRNA from 1 species
AACCCUUAAGCUUAGUUGCCAUCAUUAAGUUGGGCACUCUAAGUUGACUGCCGGUGACAAACCGGAGGAAGGUGGGGAUGACGUCAAAUCAUCAUGCCCCUUAUGAUUUGGGCUACACACGUGCUACAAUGGACAAUACAAAGGGCAGCGAAACCGCGAGGUCAAGCAAAUCCCAUAAAGUUGUUCUCAGUUCGGAUUGUAGUCUGCAACUCGACUAUAUGAAGCUGGAAUCGCUAGUAAUCGUAGAUCAGCAUGCUACGGUGAAUACGUUCCCGGGUCUUGUACACACCGCCCGUCACACCACGAGAGUUUGUAACACCCGAAGCCGGUGGAGUAACCAUUUGGAGCUAGCCGUCGAAGGUGGGACAAAUGAUUGGGGUGAAGUCGUAACAAGGUAGCCGUAUCGGAAGGUGCGGCUGGAUCACCUCCUUUCUAAGGA